GGCAGUGGUAGCUCAGUGGUUAAGGCGUUGGACUACUGCUCAGGAGGUCGUGAGGUCAAACCUCAGCACUCCCA